rnacentral:misc_RNA from 1 species
AACGCACAUUGCGCCCUUUGGUAUUCCGAAGGGCAUGCCUGUUCGAGCGUCAUUAUCACCCCUCAAGCCCUGUGCUUGGUGUUGGACGGCCGGUCGAGCGAUCGACCCCUCCUAAAGACAAUGACGGCGGCCUGUGGUUCCCCCGGUACACUGAGCUUUUCACCGAGCACGUAUCGGACAAGGGCACCCGGGACCCGGUCCUCUCCUUUCACAAAAGGAAACUUUCUAUGGUUGACCUCGGAUCAGGUAGGAAUACGCGCUGAACUUAA